CUUUUGGAUGGUAGGAGAUCAAGUCCUGAGGAGGCAGGCUCUAGGCAGAGGAGACAGUAAGCACGGAGAGCAUCCUGGCCAUGUCUGAUGAGCAGCAAGGAGGCCUGCGUGGCUGGCAGAAGGUAAAUGCACUUGCUGUCACCCACAUAGUGGAAGGAGAGAAUUGACUUCCGUCAGUUUGUCCUCUGAGCUCCACAUUCAAGCAUGCCUUGCAGCAAGCAAGUAAACACAUUCUUGUCCACUUGAUAAACAGAGUCCGAAUUUCAUUCCAUC